GUGCCCGUAGCUCAGCUUGGAUAGAGCGUCGGCCUGCGGAGCCGAAGGUCACGCGUUCAAAUCGCGUCGGGCACG
rnacentral:tRNA from 1 species